UGGGGAAUAUUGCACAAUGGACGGAAGUUUGAUGCAGCGACGCCGCGUGGAGGGUGUAGGCCUUCGGGUUGUGAACUCCUUUUUCUCGCGAAAAAGGCACAGUUUUGGCUGUGUUGAUGGUAGUGGGGGAAGAAGCGCCGGCUAACUACGUGCCAGCAGCCGCGGUAAUACGUAGGGCGCGAGCGUUGUCCGGAUUUAUUGUGCGUAAAGAGCUCGUAGGUGGUUCGUCGCGUCUGUCGUGAAAGCCAGCAGCUUAACUGUUGGUCUGCGGUGGGUACGGGCGGGUUUGAGUGCGAUAGGGGUGACUGGAAUUCCUGGUGUAGCGGUGGAAUGCGCAGAUAUCAGGAGGAAAACCGAUGGUGAAGGCAGGUCACUGGGCCGUUACUGACACUGAGGAGAGAAAGCGUGGGGAGCGAACAGG
rnacentral:rRNA from 1 species